AUUGAACGCUGGCGGCAUGCCUAACACAUGCAAGUCAAACGGGGCAGCAAUGCCUAGUGGCGGACGGGUGAGGAAUACGUAGGAAUCUGCCCUUAAGUGGGGGAUAACCAGGGGAAACCCUGACUAAUACCGCAUGAUCUCUUCGGAGCAAAGGGGGGGAUCGCAAGACCUCUCGCUAUCGGAGCGGCCGAUGUCAGAUUAGGUAGUUGGUGGGGUAAAAGCCUACCAAGCCGACGAUCUGUAGCUGGUCUGAGAGGACGACCAGCCACACUGGGACUGAGAGACGGCCCAGACUCCUACGGGAGGCAGCAGUGGGGAAUUUUGGACAAUGGGCGCAAGCCUGAUCCAGCCAUGCCGCGUGCGGGAAGAAGGCCUUCGGGUUGUAAACCGCUUUUGUCAGGGAAGAAAAGCUCUGGACUAAUACCCCGGAGUGAUGACGGUACCUGAAGAAUAAGCACCGGCUAACUACGUGCCAGCCGCCGCUGUAACAC
rnacentral:rRNA from 1 species